GUAUUCCCCCGGAAUGAACCAAUGAAAAAGAAUGAGUAAAGAAUACAUUGCAAGAGUACCAAAAAGUUGCUUUUCUAUUCUUUUAGAAACUUAAAAGAACACAAUUAUUCAAAACCCCCAAUCCCUUUUCUCCAUCUCACGAUUAAAAACCCCCAAUCCCUUUUCUAAUGUCCUAAGGAAAACCUAUUGCAGGUUUUCACUCUCUCGAUCGCCGCUGCCCUCUCUCUCGGUCGCCGCUGCCCUCUCUCUCCUUCGCCGCUGCCCUCUCUCUCGGUCGCCGCUGGCCUCUCUCUCUCUCUCUCUCGGUCGCAGAGUAAUGGCAUCCACUUCGAGAGCUAAUAACGAGGCAGCAAAAUGGACUCAAAGCGAACAAGAUUAUCUCUUGAAAUUAAUGGUUGAACAAGUGAAAGUUGGUCAUAAGAGUUCUAGCACUUUCAAUAAAGGUGGGUGGAACAAUAUCAAGAAGGGGCUUGAGGAAAAAUUUAAUCGGUCAUUUACGAUGGUUCAAUUAAGGAAUAAGAUGAAUAAAAUGUGAUCCGAUUACAGCGCUUUCAAGAGACUACUGGAUACUACAGGUUUUGGUUGGAAUUCCGUGACGAGGACCUGUACAGUUGAAGAUGACAGUGUUUGGGAUGUACACAUCAAGGCAAAUCGUGAUUGGUCAAAGUUUAGGAGGAAUGGGCUACCACAUUGGCCUGAACUAUGUAUAAUUUUUGGGGAUUCAUAUGCUAGUGGGAUAGGCGGAUUCGGGAAUGAAUCUGAUUUUAGGUUUGAAGAGGAAUCGAGAGGUGUUGAUGAUGAGGUGGAUGCAGAUGUAUAUGUAACUCCAACUACUCCAUUGGCUAAUACCUUGCCAACAAGUUAUUAUGAAAGCCAAGAUCCAGGAACUGAUCGUCCUAGAGUCAACAUAAGACUUGAUAGGACACCUACAAGAUAUAGGAAGAAGAGUAGGACAACUGGUAUUGAACGCGCCAUACAGACCCUAGCCGAGUCAGUAGCAAACAAGAAUACUUCAAUCCCUAGCUCAACUCCAAUGGGUCUCACUCCAAAUACCACAGAUUUCAGCACUUCUACUUGUGUUAGAUUAUUGGAAACUAUGAAUGAUAUCCCAAGAGAGUUGCAUAUUAAGGCGUGCAAGAGGAUAUUGGUGGAUCGGGAAUGGAGAGAAUUAUUCAUUACUCUCAAGGAUGAAACGAAACAAUUGGCUUUUGAUGUGUUAGAUUGAUGGAUGAUAAUCUAACAUUUUUUUUUUAAUAUGGAUGAUUGUAAUGAAAUACAUUUAAGACCUUUUGUAGUAUGAUCGAUAUAUUUUGUUAGGUACACUUGAUGUAAAAGUGUAAUAUGGAUAUUUACACUUUAUGCUACUUUUCUAAAUAUGCCAGUUAAAUUUUACUAUUAUUGUAGCAAUGAUUCUGUUGGAUGCCUUUUUGUUUUAAAUACUUAUUACAUCAUCUGAUAAUUAUGCAUGUUGGAUGAUUAUAGUUUUAUAGAUCUUUUGGAAAAUUCGUAUUAGGGGAUAAACAUUUGUAUGAUAUUAACAAGUUUAAAAUUUGUAUGAAUCAGUUAUGGCAAAUGUCGAUAAUACCUUGC